rnacentral:rRNA from 1 species
AAUUUAGAACGCUGACGAGUGGCAAACGGGUGAGUAAUACAUAUGAACUUUCUCUAAGAAGAGGAUAGCCAGUCGAAAGAUUGGGUAAUACUCUAUGUGGCCGAAAGGUUAAAGUUUAAUACGCUUAGAGUGAGGCAUAUGCCCCAUCAGCUAGUUGGUAAGGUAAUGGCUUACCAAGGCUAAGACGGGUAGCUGGACUGAGAGGUUGAUCAGCCACACUGGGACUGCGACACGGCCCAGACAUCUACGGAUGGCAGCAGUAGGGAAUUUUCCGCAAUGGGCGAAAGCCUGACGGAGCCAUGCCGCGUGCAGGAUGACGGCCCUAUGGGUUGUAAACUGCUGUGGUAGCCUACCAAAAAAAUGAGGAGGCUAUUAGAAAGAGGUUGCUAACUCUGUGCCAGCAGCAGCGGUAAUACAGAGACCUCGAGCGUUAUCCGGUAUCACUGGGCGUAAAGCGUACCGAUCGGUUGUUUAGUGUGUCUAAAGUGAAAGACCGAAGCCUAACUUCGUGUUUGCUUUAGAAACUACUAAACUUGAAGGGCAAAGAGGUGGUUGGAACUCUGCAAGUAGGGGUGAAAUCCGUUGAUAUGCAGGGGAACACCAAAAGCGAAGGCAGACCACUAGGUGCCUCUUGACACUGCUAGGACGAAAGCGUGGGGAGAGAACGGGAUUAGAUACCCCGGUAUUCCACGCCCUAAACGAUGAGUGCUAGUUUUUGGGGAGAGUCAAUCUUCCUCGGAGACAAAGCUAACGCAUUAAGCACUCCGNCUGUAGAGUACGAGCGCAAGCUUA